rnacentral:lncRNA from 1 species
CGGGCCUGGAGCUGCACCCGCUUCUGGGUGGACGCACUUGGCGCGCGGCGCGGGAUGCAGACGGCUGCGAGGCGCUGGGCACAGUUGCUGUCCCCUUUGACGAUGAUGACAAGAUCGUUGGGGGCUACACCUGUGAGAAUUCUCUCCCCUACCAGGUGUCCCUGAAUUCUGGCUCCCACUUCUGCGGUGGCUCCCUCAUCAGCGAACAGUGGGUGGUAUCAGCAGCUCACUGCUACAAGACGUAAGUGUGGGGCCCCUGACUGCAAAGCUCCCAGCCAGGCUGCCUGGGAGAGCUUGGCUUCAGCCCAGGGAAGUACUGAGGUUGGGUAAGACGGAUGGGAGAGGUGGUGGAGAAGAAAACUUGUUGACAGCAGCUGACUCUCCAGAGCAAGGCCAAUCCAUGAAACAGCAAGGGUUGUGGUCAUAAAAGCAGGCAGGGAUAAUCUUGGAGUUGUCAGAGCUAGUGACAAAAGCAGGCAAGUACCUUUUGCUGGUUAGCUACACAUUAAAGCGACCUAAGACAGAGUUUUUG